CUAGGCCUACGGGAGGCAGCAGUGAGGAAUAUUGGUCAAUGGGCGAGAGCCUGAACCAGCCAAGUCGCGUGAGGGAUGACUGCCCUAUGGGUUGUAAACCUCUUUUGUAUGGGGGGAAUAAGCUUUACGAGUAGAGUGAUGACAGUACCAUACGAAUAAGCAUCGGCUAACUCCGUGCCAGCAGCCGCGGUAAUACGGAGGAUGCGAGCGUUAUCCGGAUUUAUUGGGUUUAAAGGGUGCGUAGGCGGCCUUUUAAGUCAGCGGUGAAAGUCUGUGGCUCAACCAUAGAAUUGCCGUUGAAACUG
rnacentral:rRNA from 1 species